GCCCUAGUAGCUCAGCGUUUUAGAGCGUU
rnacentral:tRNA from 1 species